rnacentral:rRNA from 1 species
UACGGGGGGAGCAAGCGUUGUUCGGAUUUACUGGGCGUAAAGGGCGCGUAGGCGGUCGUGACAAGUCACUUGUGAAAUCUCCGGGCUUAACUCGGAACGGUCAAGUGAUACUGUCGGACUAGAGUACAGAAGGGGCAACUGGAAUUCUCGGUGUAGCGGUGAAAUGCGUAGAUAUCGAGAGGAACACCUGCGGCGAAGGCGGGUUGCUGGGCUGAUACUGACGCUGAG